UAGUCAGCAACUAUCGGCCUAUAUCGAACCUGCUCUUUCUGUCCAAGGUACAGGAAAGGAUUGUAGCAAAGCAAAUCGUCGAGUAUCUGACGGGGAACAAUCUCUUCAUACCCUUCCAGUGGGGAUUCAGGAAUUUCCACUCAACUGAAGCUGCUGUGACAAGAGUGCGCAUGCACACCAGGUAGCAGAUUAUCGCUCAGCCGAGGGAAGGAGAGGCGUUGAUGGCAUCAGCGCGUCAAGGUCGGCCACAGCGGCUGUCGGAGUCGGCCUGUAUGCUGCAGUCUGCCCUCACACAAAGACAACACAAGGACUGCACACACACUUACUUCAACCGUUGGAAACAUCAAGGCCACUUUAAAAGGGAGAAAUGCUAAUCUUUUGGGACGUAAUGAUUGUCAGUUAAGCAGCGCGUUAAGAGUGAAUUACCGACUCAAUUUGUGUAUUUAAAUUCAGACAUGAUUAAUUGGUUUUCUCGAAUGGAAACGCCAACCUAAACCCCCACCCACGAGCCCUCUCCUAAAUGUCUUAAGGAGAACAGCAUAUGCCUGCUGCUGUUCGUGUCUGAAGUCAGGCAAUAAUCAACGUCAGCAGAGAUUUUGAGGAACUCAUUUUAGUGGAAUACAUAUUCGCUGGGGAAUUUGAAAAUAUAGUUCAUGGUUGCAAAUGAAAUGCAAUAGUCUACUGCAAAAUAAAUGUAACAUGCAUUGUC